rnacentral:rRNA from 1 species
GCGAAAACUUUACAAUGCUGGCAACAGCGAUAAGGGAACCUCGAGUGCCAGGUUACAAAUCUGGCUGUCGAGAUGCCUAAAAAGCAUUUCAUAGCAAGGGCCGGGCAAGACCGGUGCCAGCCGCCGCGGUAACACCGGCGGCUCGAGUGGUAACCGUUAUUAUUGGGUCUAAAGGGUCUGUAGCCGGCCGGAUAAGUCUCUUGAGAAAUCUGGCAGCUUAACUGUCAGGCUUUCAGGAGAUACUGUCUGGCUCGAGGCCGGGAGAGGUGAGAGGUACUUCAGGGGUAGGGGUGAAAUCUUGUAAUCCUUGAAGGACAACCAGGGGCGAAGGCGUCUCACCAGAACGGACCUGACGGCAAGGGACGAAAGCGUGGGGAGCAAACA